GUAGGCAGUUAUUCCGCUGGGAUAGCGCGGCCGGAGCGCGGCGGCAUGGCCGGGGUCCCGAUCUGCGCCCUCCUCCCGCUCCUCGUCGGCGUCUGCGGCGCCGUCACCGGCUCACGGGUCUAUCCCGCCAACGAAGUUACCUUGCUGGAUUCCAGAUCAGUUCAGGGAGAACUGGGGUGGAUAGCAAGUCCCCUGGAAGGAGGGUGGGAGGAAGUGAGCAUCAUGGAUGAGAAGAACACUCCGAUCCGCACCUAUCAAGUCUGCAACGUGAUGGAGCCCAGUCAGAAUAAUUGGUUACGAACUGAUUGGAUUCCCCGUGAGGGGGCUCAGAGGGUUUAUAUUGAAAUCAAGUUCACGUUAAGAGACUGCAACAGCCUGCCAGGUGUCAUGGGAACUUGCAAAGAGACUUUCAACCUUUAUUACUACGAAUCAAACAAUGAUAAAGAGCGUUUUAUUCGCGAGAGCCAGUUUGCCAAGAUAGACACCAUUGCUGCUGAUGAGAGCUUCACCCAGGUGGACAUUGGUGACAGGAUCAUGAAGCUGAAUACAGAGAUCCGGGAUGUGGGGCCGCUCAGCAAGAAGGGGUUUUAUUUGGCUUUUCAGGACGUCGGUGCCUGCAUUGCUUUGGUCUCUGUGCGUGUGUUCUAUAAGAAGUGCCCGCUGACGGUUCGGAACCUGGCGCAGUUUCCAGACACCAUCACUGGGGCUGACACCUCCUCGCUGGUGGAGGUUCGCGGCUCCUGUGUCAACAACUCGGAAGAGAAGGAUGUGCCAAAAAUGUACUGUGGGGCAGAUGGUGAAUGGCUGGUGCCCAUUGGCAACUGCUUGUGCAAUGCUGGCUACGAGGAGCGCAACGGAGAAUGCCAAGCUUGCAAAAUCGGAUACUACAAGGCUCUCUCGACAGAUUUUGCCUGUGCCAAAUGCCCGCCUCACAGCUACUCCAUCUGGGAAGGCUCCACGUCCUGCACCUGCGACCGGGGCUUUUUCCGAGCGGAAAAUGACGCUGCCUCCAUGCCCUGCACUCGCCCUCCAUCUGCCCCCCAGCACCUGAUUUCCAACGUCAAUGAGACCUCUGUGAACCUGGAGUGGAGCCCCCCGCAGAACAGAGGUGGCCGGGAGGACAUCUCCUACAACGUGGUGUGCAAGCGGUGCGGGGCCGGCGAGCUCAGCCGCUGCCGCUCCUGUGGCAGUGGGGUGCACUUCAGCCCCCAGCAGAACGGCCUGAAAACCACCAAAGUCUCCAUCACUGACCUCCUGGCACACACCAACUACACCUUUGAGGUCUGGGCGGUGAACGGAGUGUCCAAGCAAAACCCCAGCCAGGACCAGGCCGUGUCAGUCACUGUCACAACUAACCAAGCAGCUCCAUCCCCGAUUGCAUUGAUCCAGGCUAAGGAAAUAACAAGGCACAGCGUUGCCUUGGCUUGGCUGGAGCCUGACAGGCCAAAUGGAGUCAUCCUGGAGUAUGAGGUCAAAUACUAUGAAAAGGACCAGAACGAGCGCAGCUACCGCAUCGUGAAAACGGCCUCCAGGAACACCGACAUCAAAGGCCUCAACCCCCUGACCUCCUACGUGUUCCACGUGCGGGCCAGGACAGCAGCAGGCUAUGGAGACUUCAGUGGGCCCUUCGAGUUCACCACUAACACAGUUCCUUCCCCCAUCAUUGGCGAUGGUACCAAUCCCACAGUGCUUCUUGUUUCAGUGGCUGGCAGUGUUGUUCUUGUGGUCAUUCUCAUUGCAGCCUUUGUCAUCAGCAGGAGGCGCAGUAAGUACAGCAAGGCAAAGCAAGAGGCAGAUGAGGAGAAACACCUGAACCAAGGUGUUAGAACAUAUGUGGAUCCUUUUACAUAUGAGGAUCCAAACCAAGCUGUGAGGGAAUUUGCCAAAGAAAUUGAUGCCUCCUGCAUAAAGAUUGAAAAAGUUAUUGGUGUGGGGGAGUUUGGUGAAGUGUGCAGUGGACGUCUCAAAGUGCCAGGAAAAAGAGAGAUCUGUGUUGCUAUCAAGACUCUAAAAGCUGGUUACACUGAUAAACAAAGGAGAGACUUUCUGAGUGAGGCCAGUAUCAUGGGACAGUUUGACCACCCCAAUAUCAUCCACUUGGAAGGUGUAGUUACUAAAUGUAAACCAGUAAUGAUCAUAACUGAGUACAUGGAGAAUGGUUCCUUGGAUGCCUUCCUCAGGAAGAAUGAUGGCAGAUUCACAGUCAUCCAGCUGGUGGGGAUGCUCCGUGGCAUUGGCUCAGGGAUGAAGUACCUGUCUGACAUGAGCUACGUGCACCGGGACCUCGCCGCUCGCAACAUUCUGGUCAACAGCAACCUGGUCUGCAAAGUGUCUGACUUUGGCAUGUCCCGGGUCCUGGAGGAUGACCCUGAGGCAGCUUACACCACACGGGGUGGCAAGAUCCCCAUCAGGUGGACAGCUCCCGAGGCCAUCGCCUACCGCAAAUUCACCUCGGCCAGCGACGUCUGGAGCUACGGCAUCGUCAUGUGGGAGGUGAUGUCCUACGGGGAGAGACCCUACUGGGACAUGUCCAAUCAAGAUGUGAUUAAAGCCAUCGAGGAAGGGUACCGGCUGCCCCCACCCAUGGACUGCCCCAUCGCCCUCCACCAGCUGAUGCUGGACUGCUGGCAGAAGGAGCGCAGCGACCGGCCCAAGUUUGGGCAGAUCGUCAACAUGCUGGACAAGCUGAUCCGCAACCCCAACAGCCUGAAGAGGACAGGCAGCGAGAGCUCCAGACCUAGCACAGCCCUGCUGGAUCCCAGCUCCCCCGAGUUCUCGGCGGUUGUUUCUGUCAGUGACUGGCUCCAAGCCAUGAAAAUGGAGCGAUACAAGGAUAACUUCACAGCUGCUGGCUAUACCACCCUAGAGGCUGUGGUGCAUAUGAACCAGGAGGACCUGGCCAGGAUUGGGAUCACGGCCCUGGCACACCAGAACAAGAUCCUGAGCAGCGUCCAAGCGAUGCGCACCCAAAUGCAACAGAUGCACGGCAGGAUGGUUCCCGUCUGAGCCAGCACUGAAUAAACUCAAAACUCUUGAAAUUAGUUUACCUCAUCCAUGCACUUUAAUUGAAGAACUGCACUUUUUUUACUUCGUCUCCUCGCCCGUCGAAAUAAGGAUCUGCAGCAUUGCUUGAUGUACAGAUUGUGGAACCCAAGCGUGUGUGUUGGGAGGGGGGCCUCCAGAAAUGACAAGCCGUCAUUUGAAACCAGACCUGGAACAAAUUGUUUCUUGGAACAUACUUCUCUGUUGAUCAAUGAUAUGUAAAAUACAUGUAUCUAUAUAAAUAUAAAGUCACAUUCAAGUUUUGAUGAUAUGUUUGCUGCCAGAUACUGUGCUUAAGAAACAACAGCAUUACUUUCCUUCUCCCCGUGACCUGUAGGAUUACAACCAUAGUGUUUUAUUUGUGGGUGAAACCACCGUUGUGUAUCUUUCACUGGAAUGAAGAACCUGCCCUAGGAUAUUCUUUGCAGUCUUGAUGCAUCACUGACACCUUGCAGAAACCUCAGUGAGAAUAUCGUGUGGCUAAUCAGUGCCUGCCAAUUAGUGAUCUACCUGUUUAUGGGCUUGAGACAUGAAGUGUCCCACCUUGUGGAUUACUGGGCAAAACUGGACUUCUGGGGAGGUUCUUGGCUGUUGUGUCGUGCUGAAGCCUACCAUUGAAAGACUUUUGUGACCAUCUUGCCAGUAGUCAGCUGUGACAAUCGUGGCUGUGGAGCUUUCAGACUUUUCUCUUUCAAGAAACUCGCUCCCUUUGCCUCACGGAAGGUCAGUGGAAUACAGUGUCCAACGUGUUCAUGGUGCUUUAUUUUGUGAGCUGUGCUAGGAUUUCGUCGCUGUUGGGGGAAAAUAAAAGCUGCUGUGGGAAACGGAUUUUGCUUUCACAGCCUCGUAGCCCGUCCUGUUGAUCACAUUGACCAUGGAGGAACACAGACUAGACAUGAAGCCUCUGGACCCACGGUUGCGUCUUCCAUAGCACUGAUUCUGGAAAAGACAUUUUGAACAGUCAUUGGUCCCUGAAGAGAGUGUGACUUUUACUUUCUCUUUUUUUUGUUUCCUGGGCCACCCACUCCGUUGUUUUUCUCCACUGAGCGAUAACUAACUCGUUAAGACUCAGCACCCAGUUGUCACUUGAGGAAUGUACUGUGUCAAAUCCCUGCAGACUUCUGGAUUUUGUUUUUCAUCCUCUUCUGCUUUCUCUGCUUAGCUUUGGUUUUAUUUAUAUAUUUUGUUGUUGUCUCUCCUCAUUCCCCUGGCUGUCACCGCUGCAUCCCGGACGAAUGAAGGUGACAGAGCACUACACAUCGUACCAUGGACGCCAGGCCAGGUGCCACAGCAAAGAACCCAGUUCCUGUGAGCUGCCUGUGUGCAUUGCUGAGUGACAUUUUACACUAAAGGUGCCAUUGCAGUGAUAUAAAUAUAUUUUUUUCCUUGAAUGGAUAAGGAUCAUUAUGUCCUCCGAAAGGUGCGUACGUGUGCUUGUGUACGUGUGUUGGCGUGCAGGUCACCUCGUGUGUACAACUGCCUGUGAGUGUGCCCCAAACACCUCUGGAAGCACAGGAGUCCCCUGUCCUAUGAGACCAGGCCAAUAGCUCAAGUCUGAAAUGAUAGCAAGAACACACACAUUAAAAAGUGUUGAAAUUUCUGUAUCUGUAAGUGUAUUUUUUAGCUGCCACACUAAUGUUGUUGAGUAAUUCUGCAGCCUGAAACCGGUGAUUUUGAGUUAGUUCUGGAGUAAUGGAUUGCAGGAUCUAAAAGGGUGCUAAAGGUUUUUUGUUAAGUGUUUUUUAUUCGUACUAGUGCCCUGCUCAUGACCAAGAACAACCAGUUUCUCAGUGGCAAGGUGGUGGAGAAAACAGCAGCAUCUCCAUCCACUGGUAAUCCUGAGCUGAAUUCUUACGUAGCCUUUUUUAUCUGCAAAAAUAGGAUUUUAAAGACUUGUUGAAUGCUAACAAAUAUAUGCAGUUCUUCCAUUGACAGAAGCACCUUGCUCUGUGUGCAACAUAAUAAUCAGAACACUUCCCUUGUUCCCAGCACAGAUAAGGAACAAAAAUGCAACAAGACCUGUGAAGUUACAGUUAGCAAGAGUUGUGAAGUGUGUCCUGUUCCUUGUGCAGCUGAAGUGCAGGAGAAGACACUCUUUCUUCCAUGGCCCAGGGAGCAGAGCUGCAGCGUACUGAUACCACCUAGGAGGGCUUUCUGUGUUUGGAGAGUUCACCCUAGUGUAGUGUGAGGCAGCUGGGGUGGAGCUGAGUGCCUGCACCCAGGGGAUGCAGGGCCACCAGCACAGGGCAGGGGACACAUGGCAGGUGGCAAUGUGCCCCAGGUGCUCCCAGGUGCUCUCCUGGUGCUCUCCAGGUGCUCCCCAGUGCUCUCCUGGUGCUCCCAGGUGCUGUUCCCUGCCCUAGGACAGGGGCUUGCUCCGGCACAGGUGGAUGCACAGCCCUGCCCACAGCUGUGCCAAGGUGUCCCGAGGUUGCUCCUGUUUUCCUUUCCCUCCUCGCUGACCCUGUGGUCAGUCCCUGGUUGGGAAGAGGAGUGGCAGGGAGGCCAGGGGAGCUGUGCUGGGGCUCAGGCUGGCACAGCAGGGCUGUGCCCUGCAGGGCUGGCCACGGGCUGGGCCAGACGGAGCUGCAGACACAGGAGGAAGGCGAGUGCCAUGGCACUGCUGCCCUCGGGGACGGGCCACCGCCGCCUUGGCCCCCACGACGAGUGUGUUCAGUUGUCCUGCUCACACACCAAUGGUUGAUGUUUGUCCGGGUUUCUUGCUGUGCUAAUUUUGUGAUGGAUCUUAUGUAUUAAAAAUAUAUAUGUAUAAAAAUACAAAAUACAAAAAAAAAAAAAAAAGCUGGUAAGUAACCAGUAAACAGGACUUAAAAAGCAGUAUUUUUCUUUUAUGUGACAUUUUCAUAACCAGAAAAAAAGAAAAAAUCUGAAAUACUAAUCAGACAAAUAAAAAGAGAGUGCAUUUAUUUUUUUGUAUCACUGCAAGUAUGUUGGAAUAUGCAAGGACUGUGGUUAAAAUUAGAAUGUAUGAGGCAUAUUAUAAUUUAGUUCAUACUGAAAAAAUCUAACAGCAUUUCUUGGUUUGUGCAUUUGAACGAUCUCUGGGUUAGAUAUAUAGAUUUUUCUAUUUUGUUUUAAUUUGUAAUUUUUUUCUCCCUCCGUGAAUUUUAGGUACACAUAACUUAUGUCAUUUAUUUAUGGUCUUUUAUACCUAGUUUGUAAAAUUGUAAAAUAGCAAACAAUGCAAACAUUUGCAUUUGAAAAUAAUAAAGUAGUUGCUGUACAAACCUGAAA